AAUCGAUUGCUCAGUACACUCCAAAAUCCAAAACCGGAGAAACCAAUCCAGAAUCAAUAUGAAAUUCUUCUCAGUCGUCACCGUCUUCGUACUCGGUCUGCUGGCUGUGGCCAACGCUGUUCCACUGCCCGAACCAGGAGACGUAACCAUCGUCGGAAACUGCAAUAAUUGCGAAAUCAUAAACGUUGACCAGAAACAGAAAAUAUGUUACAAAACGUAUAAUGGGCUUACCAUUUGUUAUAGGUUGUGAAGUCACACACACAUUUAUAAUGCCAAACAAAUAAAUACAUAAAAAGAGAGGAAUUUAGUUUCUUUCGCACUAGAAAAGAAAACAAGACGAGUUUUAUUUGUGUGUAGCUACCAAUUAAUGCAUUUAAAUUUCUUAGGAAAAAUGUGGGACAGGAUUGCGAUAAGCUGUUAAAAAUGUUAUUCCUCAUAAUAUGCAUAGUUAAUAGAUUUCAUUAUUGUCUCUCAAUCAAUGCUCUCAUCUCCUACUGCACUUGAGUCACUCCGAUUCUCCGAUUUUACUAUCGACUAUAUAUAAUCUGAUUCCGUAGAUCGAGAGCAUCAGUUGUAGAUUAUCGUUGGACCGGUGUGCUUAUAAAACCGGAUCUAUUUAUUGAAAAUCAAUAUGAGAUUCUUUACAGUCGUCACCAUAUUUGUGCUUGGUGCCCUGGCCUUAGCCGAAGCUGUUCCGCUGUCACCCGGUCCAGGAAAUGUUAUCAUCAAUGGCGAUUGUGUAAACUGCAAUGUUCGCGGUGACAUAUAGAGAAUUGUAGUCAAAUAAACCCUAGAAUGUAAAAUGCCUUUUUUCAUUUGUAAUAAAAUAGAAACAAAUUCUAAGCAUUCUACGACAUAA